ACAAAAGCAGGAGGCGUUUAAAACCACAAAGGCAGCACAAAUCAGAAGAAUAUCUGCCUGGAAGCAACUCUCUACCCAUUUGUAUAUAUUUUAACCGUACUUUGCCAGGGUCAGGACUGUAAGAGAAAGCAGCUUCCCAUUUGAGGGUGCUGUUAUUAAUCCACUGGCAAGGUGCCACCCCAUUAACUUGCCAGAAUGGAGCUCCCUCUAUUUGUUUAGAAGUGGACCUGAAAUCUCAAGGUAAGUGUCUGAACACUGUCACCACAUAGACACAUGUAUCUCCUUACUGUAGAGUCAAAGCAUGAAGCCGAUAGCAAUGCCGUGGAGGUAGAAGUCGCCACCAUUUCCCUCCUCAACCCCACCCAGACACCUGCACCAGCACAAGCCUCCUGUUCCUCUGUCGUCACAAGUAAACAGUACUAACUUAAACAGGUCACCCUA